rnacentral:rRNA from 1 species
GUGGGGAAUAUUGCACAAUGGGCGGAAGCCUGAUGCAGCAACGCCGCGUGCGGGAUGACGGCCUUCGGGUUGUAAACCGCUUUCAGCAGGGACGAAGCGUGAGUGACGGUACCUGCAGAAGAAGCACCGGCUAACUACGUGCCAGCAGCCGCGGUGAUACGUAGGGUGCGAGCGUUGUCCGGAUUUAUUGGGCGUAAAGAGCUUGUAGGCGGUUGGUUGCGUCGAAAGUGCAAACUCAGGGCUUAACUCUGAGCCUGCUUUCGAUACGGGCUGACUGGAGGAAGGUAGGGGAGAAUGGAAUUCCCGGUGGAGCGGUGGAAUGCGCAGAUAUCGGGAGGAACACCAGUGGCGAAGGCGGUUCUCUGGACCUUUCCUGACGCUGAGAAGCGAAAGCGUGGGGAGCAAACAGGCUUAGAUACCCUAGUAGUCC